AUUGAACGCUGGCGGCAGGCCUAACACAUGCAAGUCGAGCGGAUGAAGGGAGCUUGCUCCUGGAUUCAGCGGCGGACGGGUGAGUAAUGCCUAGGAAUCUGCCUGGUAGUGGGGGAUAACGUCCGUAAACGGGCGCUAAUACCGCAUACGUCCUGAGGGAGCAAGUGGGGGUUCUUCGGACCUCACGCUAUCAGAUGAGCCUAGGUCGGAUUGGCUAGUUGGUGGGGUAAGGCCUACCAAGGCGACGAUCCGUAACUGGUAUGAGAGGAUGAUCAGUCACACUGGAACUGAGACACGGUCCAGACUCCUACGGGAGGCAGCAGUGGGGAAUAUUGGACAAUGGGCGAAAGCCUGAUCCAGCCAGGCCGCGUGUGUGAAGAAGGUCUUCGGAUUGUAAAGCACUUUAAGUUGGGAGGAAGGGCAGUAAGUUAAUACCUUGCUGUUUUGACGUUACCAACAGAAUAAGCACCGGCUAACUUCGUG
rnacentral:rRNA from 1 species